CUUCAAAAAUCAAUUAGUGACAGUGACAAAAUUAUUCCGUGAAAAAGAAGCCUAAAUGCCUUUCUUUGGACAUUCAUCUCCAUUGUAAGUAGGUUGGCCUACCUUGGAUCAUUUCAAAAUGUGAGCGAUCAGGACAGAAGAAAAUUACUAGAAAAAUUUCACUACGCGAACGCGAGCGAUACGACCGACUUUGUAUAUAAAGCGGCAACCUUUUGCGAUACCGGCCGGUUAGCAACUGGUGGAAAAUCGGCGGCCAACGCGCCAGGAAAAGCGCGUCCGACAACAGCUACCGCUACCGCGGAUACGUGCAAAAUUAAAGAAAAUUACCAACACGGCGGCAGCUCCUGGACCUACAUCAACAAUCCGUGCGAAAGCGAUGUGCGUAAGGCGUCCGCUCAUGGGAGGACGAUUUUUCCUAAGGUGCUGCCGACGUACUCCGCCUGUUGCUUAACGUCCUCGAUUAGCAAGGAGAAACUGGACGUCUACAAACGGGAAAAUUGGGAUCGCUUAAGGGAUUUUAUAGAGCGUUCGACCGCUAAAAGACGAAUUUAGUGGGUUAAUUGCCGCGAAUAUGCUUUUAGUUGGAUUCAUUAAA